CAUCCCAUUACCACAGAACCGGGGUGGUGCGCAGUGUGUUUCUAUUCAAGCAUUUAAUACAUUAGUCUGUAAUUUUUGUCUUGGAGGUAAUGAGCCCUGACAGCUUUGGCUGGUGCACGGUAACAAUCCCACAGCCUCAUCUUGAAAAAUAGAAAGACAUCAAGCGGGAUGGUUCUUAGAAAGGCUGAGAUUGCUGCAAAGUCGCUUGAGCGCACGGAUCAGCUGCCGCGGGAGGCAGGAGACAUGACCUGCUGCUGAGCACCUCACUGGCCG